rnacentral:misc_RNA from 1 species
GCAGUUAGAUGAGCUUGGGGACACUAGUACACUUGCAGACCCAACUGUGGUUGAUCAGCUUAUUGCACUUGCUGAUUGCUAAAGUAACAACUUCUAAAUAUAGUGAAGUUAGAGGUUAAGCUGACUGUGCUGGUAGAGAUUGGUAUUUUGUUUCUGUUUUACUGUGAGUACCUUUUUCCUCCAAAUUUGAAACAACUUAUGGUUAACACACUUUUGAAGAUCAGGUUACAUUUAAAAUCAAGAAAUAAAAAAUCAAGAUGUG